ACACUCCACACUCACAUCCCCUCCUGCCUCCUCUCUCGCAGCGUCCUCCCUCCUGCCCUCUACGCAUGGCGGCGGCGCACGGCCCGGCCACAUCGCCGCCCCUUCCUACCCCGCCUCUACGCACAGCGGCGGCGCAAGCCCGGCAGAGGCUGGCCUCUGCGCACAGCAGCGGAGGCCCUACGAAGGCGUCGCGCCCGCGCCUCCCGCUGGAGCCGAGGCCUCAGCGAGCGCCAGCUGCUCAAGCUGGCCGGACCUGUGGCUGGCUGGACAUGUGGCUGGCCGGACCUGUGCUCGCCUGCCUCCCGAAGCCCCACCUCACGGGCUGGUCUGCGAUGGCGGCGGAUCUCCUCCCUUCAGAUCUGCUCCCGAACACGGCGUCGGAGUAGACUCUCUCCCCCGAUGCAUCCGGCCCCAUCGGCGAGAUCCGUCGCCGUCAUCCACCCCGGCCUCGGCAGCCAACAGAUCCACCCACCACCUCGGUCCCCUUGUCAAUCCUCAUCGUCUUCUUCACGAUUCAAUCCCUAACUUAAUAUCUCUGUUGCUUUUGUUUCACAGCUUGGGCGCCCAAACUCGACACAGAUUUGCAAGCGAGAGGGGCGGAGCUACCAGCCGAGCGCGCUGAAGCCGGCAAGGGAUGGCAGUGGCCCGUGCGCCCAGCGCGUGCGUUUGGGCAUGAGGCGGAGAGGAGCAGCGGUUCCAUAAUAUUUUUUUUAUUGUGCGGAGAGGAGUAGGAGGUGGAGGCGAGUCAUUUGGAAUGCUGAUCUCGCUAGAGACAUGUCCACUUUGUUCUUUUUUUUGUAGUAAAGAAAUAAUCACGUUUUGAUAGGAAUUUUGCAGGGAUUGAUAUUCAGCAGCUAUAUGUUCCUUAUUUCGCACACUGUACUUAGAAUUGCAUGUUGUUUAGGGGUAAUUUUUUCUAACUCUGAACAUCCUAGUCAUCUACUCUACAAACAUACCUGCCAAGGCUUUUUCAUGUUUGAUGUUACCAGCCAAAGUUUGUGAUGCGGGGCACGCUGCUCUACAACCUGCCAUGGAAGAUCCCCUGCAAGCUCAUGAACAUCAAGCUGAAGAUAGUAAUUAGUAACACUUCGAUGUGCUGUUGCUGGUGGAACCGAAUCCUACAUCCUGGGGCUGCAACAUCCCGUGCAAUGGUGUUCUGUUAGCUUUUGGUAGAACUUCAAAUCAAACUUUGUUGCUGCUGGUUCAUAUUCUUUAUGAAACCCACCUUUUGUUGUUUCUGGUCAACUAUGUAGUCUUGGAAUGUUACUACUACUUUUCAUAGAUGGAAAUGUAUGUGAUAGAAAUAUUAUUCAUGUCAAUUUCGGCCUGAAUGGGUUGUGUAUAAAGCUAAAUCUGAAUAACUAAUAAUUAAUUUUGGGCUGAAAUUAGACCAAA